rnacentral:lncRNA from 1 species
GCCCAGACCUCGCUCCCCCAAAGGGUGUGACCAGCUCCCAGGCAGGCCAGGGACAUGCCCUGGUUGGUCAGGCUGCCCCAUUGGGCUCUGAUGCCCUCCUGGGCCCUGCCUUUGUCUGAUUGUGGGCACCGCUCCCACGUACUGUCCUUGCUGGGCCUGCUGCACUGGCUCAGCCAUACAGGUGAGAAGACCUGAGACCACUGAGUCAGGAGGGCUGCCGCCCCACUCACACCUCCUGCCCUGCACUUGUGGGUGCCCCCUGGCUUCGUGCCUUCCUCUGCCUGGACUACCCUUCCCAUCCCUGCUGACCCCAGGCCUCGGAGCCUCGGGCAGGUGGCCGAGUCGGGUGCGUGGGCCCCAGGAGCUCUGGAGGGGGGCUUGUGUGUGCAGUGAGGGCCAUUGGAGAAUGUUUCUCUUGAUCUCCUUGUUAGAAAAAUGUAAGAGCGUGAUGACACACACCCGUCCUCGUCACCGAUGGACACAGGCCAAUUAAAAGAGCUUGGAGUCCACAGCAGCUGCCCUGCCAGGAGGGCACGCUCGCCCCGUUAAAGCGACUGUGUGCUCCAGGGACAGAGAGGCUUCCAAGUGGGGCAGAGCCUUGGUCCACACUGCAUCCGCCACUCACUGGGCAGCUGGAGCAGGCCACAAAGGGCGCCUGUGCUCUGCGGCGGUCGUCGGGGGUUCCUCUGCCUGCAGAGAAGAGCCAUCUGCAGAGCUCUGCCUGCCCGGCACAGGGCAGAGGUCUGGGGCCAGGAUCACGGUGGAUGCUUAGGAGGGAAGGAGGGCCUCUUCAACAUCACCAGUGGCUCCAAGCAGCCUGUGGGAGGCAUGGGCCCAGCUACCAAGCCUGAGCAGUUCUGGCCAGCAUCCCACCAGGGGUGGCUGAGCCGGGUCAGACCAAAGAAGCAUCACUAGAGUACAUUUGGGAGCUGGAACUGGGGACACGCAAGUGAGACCUCAC